UUAAAAAGCUCGUAGUUGGAUUUCGGAGUGGGCCAGUUGGUCCGCCGCAAGGUGUGUUACUGACUGGUUUGCUCUUCUUCGCAAAGACUGCGUGUGCUCUUCAGUGAGUGUGCGUAGGAUUUACGACGUUUACUUUGAAAAAAUUAGAGUGUUCAAAGCAGGCAUACCGCUUGAAUACAUGAGCAUGGAAUAAUGGAAUAGGACUUUGGUCCCAU
rnacentral:rRNA from 1 species